ensembl:lncRNA
GAUUCACAGAGGGUGGUGAGGUACAUCAGUUACUGGCUGGUAACUGAUGGCAGGCGUGUGUCCCUUCAAUUUAAUGUUCUCUUAAUGAAUAUAAGUAAUGGUUAGGUUGUCCUUCACUGCUGAUAUGUUUCUGUCUCUAAGGGUUAUUGCAAUCAGGGAUGAACAUUGCUCCUCAAGCCACUUACGUCCCCACUGUGGUGGAGUAGAGUGGGAUUCCUGGCCCAUCGCAGCCCUCUUUUAGUUGGACGACAGCCCGCCAGGCUCCCCUGUCCCUGGGAUUCUCCAGAUUUCAAGAAGGCUGCUGUGCCUCUGUCCAUCACAUCUGUGUUCCAGGCAGAACAUGAAGGUAAAUGCAAAAGGCUGAAGAAUAUCAGCUGAGUCUAUCUCUUUAAAAAAAAAGAAGAAGAAGAAUUUUUCUGCAUGCAGGAUUUUGUUCCUUGAUCAGGCAUUGAAUCCAUCCCCCCUGCAUUGGGAGCUCAGAGCCUUAGCCACUGGACCACCAGCCUUCAGGGAAAUCUACAGCUGAAGGGCUUACGGUCCUCACGUGCUCUACGGCUCCACGGCUGCUCCUUGGAGGUUGCACCACUGAUUUAG